UUCCGUCACAUCACGAGUGAGAGCGCGCACUUCUUGAUUUUUAGAACAUACCAAACUCACUCUCUGCUCUAGUAAUAGUAAUAGUACUAAUACUGUACUUACUAGUAGUCUGGCCAUAUGCCUAUGGCCUAGUCUCUACACAGAGCUAGAGAGAGUCAGUGCAGAACAGCCUAGAAAAAGAAGGAACAUUGCUUCGAAAGUACGAUACUUCGAGUAUUAUUCGAGUAUUAUAAGACUUAGUAUUAUUGUUGUGUGACUUAUGUCUCCGGUCGCUCAUUCUAUCCGCAGUACUGGUAGAUCUACAUGUACAUUGUACGUCUAGAACUCACUCACCGCCUGUUCUUCGAUCCAGAACAAUAGGGCAGGGAGAUGGCGAACCGACGACUCCCAGCUAAAGCAACACUGGGGAAUCACCCCAUGCUGUGGCACAGAGGUACCGAUAGCGAUGCCUACACCGAGAUAGAUCCGAUUCGGGUCGCCUGCUGGAGGAACGGGCGCACUAAACUGGCAGACCAUGUUGAAACGGAGAACGCACAGGAAGACUUCGACACGGUACACCAAAGGCUGGCUAUGGAUGCACGGAGGAGAAGAACGAAAUUCUACACGGAUUCUCACUUCAAGUUACCCGACAUUUUGACACAAGAUCGCCAGGUACUGAAACAGCAGAUAGAAGAAAAUGAGAAGGCCAAGAAGAAAAAGUUCAAGAGAGAGCGUAAAGAAGCGCUGAAGGUCAUUGCCCAGGAUAAGCAAGAUAAGCAAGAUGCCCAAAAACAGGACGCCACGCGAGCAAGGCAGGAGCGCACGCUCGGAGGAGGGAAUAGAGAGCUGAUCGAGGAACGACGGUUGGACAGACUACAGCAGUAUGCUCAGCAGAAAAGGGAAGAAAGAGAGGCGCUUCUGUGCACCCCGUACAACUGGUGGCGUACAUUACAAUGAGAACUGUCACCUGUGGUCCUGUGGAUCACCCAUAGUCAGUAUUAUUAUAACUAUACAUCACGUUUUUCUCAACGCAUCGUACAGUACCUACAAUGUAGAGGACUAGUGCACUUGUACCUAAGGGUCCCGACAAUCUCUCUCUCUCUCUCUCCCUCCCUCUCCCUUCUAUCUCUCUCUCUCUCUCUCUCUCUCUCUCUCUCUCUCCCUCUCUCCCUCCUUCCCUCCCUCCCUCUCUUUCUCUCUCUUUCUCUUCCCAACCGGCAUCUCCGUAUUGACUAGUUCAUUUGACCACAGCCACUAUAUUUUGAGUAGUUUGGAAAUAACCAUGCUGUGUAGUAUCAGUAUGCGCUGACAGAACAGUAUUCGUGGUCGCUUUUUCUUGCACAAAAUAUUGUCGUAUACAAUGUAGAAUCUUGUUUGUACUCCUUUAUUAUGGUACUGGCCAGAGAAAUCCAACCUCAUGAAUAAAAUAGUGCUAGGCACUAUGCAGCCCUAGCACUGCAGUCACUGUUCUGUGCACACGAAUGCAGCACUACUAUAUUCAUAAGGUUGGAUUUCUCUGGUCAGAACUGCAGUACUCAAAAUACUCAGUCAUUAUAGUUGAACGCAAGAAAUUUCGUGUAACUUACUACCUGCCUCGCAAUCAAUCGACUGAAAGUAAAAAAUAAUAUUGACAAAAUUUAA